rnacentral:rRNA from 1 species
UACGAAGGGGGCUAGCGUUGCUCGGAAUCACUGGGCGUAAAGGGUGCGUAGGCGGGUCUUUAAGUCAGGGGUGAAAUCCUGGAGCUCAACUCCAGAACUGCCUUUGAUACUGAGGAUCUUGAGUUCGGGAGAGGUGAGUGGAACUGCGAGUGUAGAGGUGAAAUUCGUAGAUAUUCGCAAGAACACCAGUGGCGAAGGCGGACUCACUGGCCCGUAUAUACGCUGAGGAGAGCGACGGG